GGUGAACGCUGGCGGCGUGCUUAAGACAUGCAAGUCGAACGCAGUCUUCGGACUGAGUGGCGCACGGGUGAGUAACACGUAACUGACCUACCCCCAAGUCGCGGAUAACUGGCCGAAAGGUCAGCUAAUUCGUGAUGUGAUGUCCCCUUUCUGGGGGGCCAUUAAAGGUUUACUGCUUGGGGAUGGGGUUGCGUUCCAUCAGCUAGUUGGCGGGGUAAAGGCCCACCAAGGCAACGACGGAUAGCCGGCCUGAGAGGGUGGCCGGCCACAGGGGCACUGGGACACGGGUCCCACUCCUACGGGAGGCAGCAGUUAGGAAUCUUCCACAAUGGGCGAAAGCCUGAUGGAGCGACGCCGCGUGAGGGAUGAAGGUUCUCGGAUCGUAAACCUCUGAAUCAGGGACGAAAGACGCGUAAGCGGGAUGACGGUACCUGAGUAAUAGCACCGGCUAACUACGUGCCAGCAGCCGCCGUAA
rnacentral:rRNA from 1 species